CCUUCAGUUAGGCUGGCCCCAGAACAGGUGCUGCAUGGCUGUCGUCAGCUCGUGUCGUGAGAUGUUGGGUUAAGUCCCGCAACGAGCGCAACCCUCGCCCUUAGUUGCCAGCAUUUAGUUGGGCACUCUAAGGGGACUGCCGGUGAUAAGCCGAGAGGAAGGUGGGGAUGACGUCAAGUCCUCAUGGCCCUUACGGGCUGGGCUACACACGUGCUACAAUGGUGGUGACAGUGGGCAGCGAGACAGCGAUGUCGAGCUAAUCUCCAAAAGCCAUCUCAAUUCGGAUUGCACUCUGCAACUCGAGUGCAUGAAGUUGGAAUCGCUAGUAAUCGCAGAUCAGCAUGCUGCGGU
rnacentral:rRNA from 1 species